rnacentral:rRNA from 1 species
UGGGGAAUAUUGGACAAUGGGCGCAAGCCUGAUCCAGCCAUGCCGCGUGAGUGAUGAAGGCCCUAGGGUUGUAAAGCUCUUUCACCGGUGAAGAUAAUGACGGUAACCGGAGAAGAAGCCCCGGCUAACUUCGUGCCAGCAGCCGCGGUAAUACGAAGGGGGCUAGCGUUGUUCGGAUUUACUGGGCGUAAAGCGCACGUAGGCGGACUUUUAAGUCAGGGGUGAAAUCCCGGGGCUCAACCCCGGAACUGCCUUUGAUACUGGCAGUCUUGAGUAUGGUAGAGGUGAGUGGAAUUCCGAGUGUAGAGGUGAAAUUCGUAGAUAUUCGGAGGAACACCGGUGGCGAAGGCGGCUCACUGGACCAUUACUGACGCUGAGGUGCGAAAGCGUGGGGAGCAAACGGG